AAGGCUGGGACAUGAAAAACUAAAACAAAUUGCUUGUUGUGAUUCACUAUCUAGUAGUUGGGUAUCCACAACCACAAAGUAGCUUCACCGUUGCUGAACUAUAUAUAUAUAGUAACACCAUCCCAUCCACUUUACACUACCCAAUCCUCAUUCAUCUUUCUUCACUUCACUCAAACUCAUACCAUAGCCACAACUAAUUACUUUCAGAAUGGAAAAAUCUUCCUUCUUACUUCCAUGCUUGAUUCUCUUAUUCCUCGUAGCCUCUGAAACUGAGUAUGGGCAGCACCUCUUAGUCUAUGAGUUUCAUAGAAAUGGAUCACUGCAUGACUUCCUUAACCCGACUUUCUGAGUUGCCAUGAGCUUCAGAUAAUGUGUAUGUCAACUUGUCACAGGAUAAUUUUGAAAGAGCAAACGGACAGAUAUUCAAUGUGGAAAACCCAGACAAUGAAGUAUCCGUGAAGGAACUAGUUGAGCUUAUGAUACAGGUUGCCACAAUUGCUUGGUUGGAAGCUGAUUCUGUGUGUGGUAGUCACUCUGUUGCAAUCCCUUUAGUGCUUGUCUUGCCUUAUCUUUUCCGUCUAAACCAAUGUCUCCGUCAGUACAAAGAUACUGGGGAGAAAACUUGUCUUUUGAAUGCUUUAAAAUAUUCAACCGCAGUGCCAGUUAUCUUUCUCUCGGCCCUUAAAUAUCACGUAUUCCUUGAUAAGUGGACAAACUUUUAUAGGCCUCUCUGGCUUCUGUCAAGUGUUGUGAACUCAUCGUACUCUUUCUACUGGGAUGUGAAUAGAGAUUGGGACCUAACGUUUGCCUAAUA